AACGAUUAAAAUAAGAGUAAUUAAGAGAUAAGCAUGCAUUUAAUUUUAAGAUAAGAACUACACCUAUGAAAUCAACGUGGCCCCUUUGUUCCUCACAAAAUGAAAGUGAAAACGUGGAUCUAAUAUUUACCAUGGAGAGGUAGAAGCAUGAACCUAUAAAUAGAACAUUAACCUUUUAUCAAACCCACACAACUAUCACUCUCAAAAGAAGCCAGGAAUGUUAAGGUAUCAUAGAAGAAGGUGAUCGCUGAAGUUAAUUUGGAAAGCUUCGAGUUAGUGCAGGAUACUAAGACCUCAAGUUGAAGUUCAUUGAGGAAAGGAAAAUGGCAUUGUGAGAGACAUUAAAAUAAAGAACGUUAGGUAUCUGAUUGGUGGUCUAGUUUUAUUUUUGGAUUCCGAAGAGAAAGAUCUCUUUGAUAUGUAUUGAUGACGUCAUUGGGGUACUCUCUAGAUGACAUGCAUCUUUAGUGUUUGACCAGCUCGUGAUCGUUUGUGGGUUAGAGUCUUUUGUAGGAAUUUAUCUUUUAUUAUUUCAUAUUGAAAAAUUGUAAGACACUUAUGUGAAAUGGAAAUGUUUUAUAUUUGAAAA